GCACUUUCACUUCAGCAGCACAUAUAAUAAAAUUGAAAUGAUACAGAGAAAAUUAGCAUGAUACCUGCACAAGGAUGACAUGCAAAUUCAUAAACAUUCUGUAUUUUUUU
ensembl:snRNA U6 U6 spliceosomal RNA